GACGAACGCUGGCGGCGCGCCUAACACAUGCAAGUCGAACGAGCGAGCGAGAGCUUGCUUUCUCGAGCGAGUGGCGAACGGGUGAGUAACGCGUGAGGAACCUGCCUCAAAGAGGGGGACAACAGUUGGAAACGACGGCUAAUACCGCAUAAGCCCACGGGUCGGCAUCGACGGGAGGGAAAAGGAGCAAUCGGCUGUGGGAUGGCCUCGCGUCCGAUUAGCUAGGUGGUGAGGUAACGGCCCACCAAGGCAACGAUCGGUAGCCGGACUGAGAGGCUGACCGGCCACAUUGGGACUGAGGCACGGCCCAGACUCCGACGGGAGGCAGCAGUGGGGAAUAUUGCACGAGGGGGGAAACCCUGAUGCAGCGGCGCCGCGUGGAGGAAGAAGGUCUUCGGAUUGUAAACUCCUGUUGUUGGGGAAGAUAAUGACGGUACCCAGCAAGGAAGUGACGGCUAACUACGUG
rnacentral:rRNA from 1 species